ACUAGCUAGUAUUAAUCCCUGGUCAAAUCGGAAAGAAAACACUGACAAGAUUAGCAUCACGCCUGCGCAAGGAUGACGCGCACAGAGAAAUGUAAGACUUAAUU